UACGUAGGGGGCAAGCGUUGUCCGGAUUUAUUGGGCGUAAAGAGCGUGUAGGCGGCCAGACAGGUCAGCUGUGAAAACUCGAGGCUCAACCUCGAGAUGUCGGUUGAAACCGUCUGGCUAGAGUCCGGAAGAGGAGAGUGGAAUUCCCGGUGUAGCGGUGAAAUGCGCAGAUAUCGGGAAGAACACCCGUGGCGAAGGCGGCUCUCUGGGACGGUACUGACGCUGAGACGCGAAAGCGUGGGGAGCGAACAGG
rnacentral:rRNA from 1 species